rnacentral:rRNA from 1 species
UACGUAGGGUGCGAGCGUUAAUCGGAAUUACUGGGCGUAAAGCGUGCGCAGGCGGUUUUGUAAGCCAGAUGUGAAAUCCCCCGGGCUCAACCCUGGGAAUGGCAUUUGGGACUGCAAGGCUUGAGUGCGGCCAGAGGAGACUGGAAUUCCUGGUGUAGCAGUGAAAUGCGCAGAUAUCGGGAGGAACACCAAUUGCGAAGGCAGCUCGCUGGGACGUUACUGACGCUGAGGAGCGAAAGCCGUGGGGAGCGAACAGG